rnacentral:rRNA from 1 species
UACAGAGGUCUCAACCGUUGUUCGGAUUCAUUGGGCGUAAAGGGUGCGUAGGCGGUCGCGUAAGUCAGGUGUGAAAUCUCAGGGCUCAACCCUGAAACUGCACUUGAUACGGCGUGGCUCGGGUACUGGAGAGGAGACUGGAAUUUACGGUGUAGCAGUGAAAUGCGUAGAUAUCGUAAGGAAGACCAGUGGCGAAGGCGAGUCUCUGGACAGUUACCGACGCUGAGGCACGAAGGUCAGGGGAGCAAACGGG